AUGUUUUAUCAAGCUCAAGUUCAAUUUUUUUAUCAAGCUCCCUCGAUGGCACAUGCAAGGUAUGGGACCUUGUUACUGGAAGAUUUUUACAAACUCGAGCUUUUCCAUUACCAAUUACUGCAAUAGUUGUUGAUCCAAUAGAGAUGAAGUUAUUUUCUGGUGGUAUAGAUUACUAGUGGAUAUUUCUUUUUUGCAUACGGAGGACAUCAUUUUUGUAUGAUUAUCUGUUUGUAUGGAAUUAUUAUUUUGGGUUGGAUUAUAUUUGGUUUGUAUAGAAUUUGAUGUUACAAGACCA